rnacentral:lncRNA from 1 species
CUGACGUCACGGACGGGCGGCGCCGCGGGAUGUUCCGUGCGUGGGGCGGUGGCGGGCGCGGCGCGGGGAGGCGGCGGGCUGCGCGCGCUAGGCCGCGAGGUUUCCGGGACAGGCGCUGGAAGGGGCGACUGGCCAGAAAAUGAGCUGGUUCAGGGCAAGAGGGUUUUUCCAUCUGGCUUUCCUGGGCGAGGAGGGGAAAACAGUUCUAGAAUAACUGCUCCGUGUUCAGGGGGAGAACAGCGGUGACGUGGGUGCCCCGUUGUCUUCAUCCACCGUGACAUCAGCAAGGAGCAGAGAGGAAGUGGCCCCGGACCCGCGGCCGGCAGCUAGACAAAUGCACUGCUGGGACUGCCAUGCCCAGCACGGGCCGCUCCCCUGGGGCUCUGCGCGUAGAGCCGACUCCUUGCUUGUACCUGCCUGCCUUCCGGCCUGCACCGGGCAAGAAACGUGGGGAGGGGAUCCACAGGCCAAGGCGCCGCACAGUGAUGCCCUGCUCCAUCCCAUGACAGGGCCUGGAAGGGGACUGGCAGCUGCAGAAAUGGUUUCCGGCCUUCCCACAUCCCCCACGCACUUCCCGGUGGGGGCAUUUUUAAAGUCGAAGGAGACACAUUCAUUCAAAUAUGUAUUAAGUGCCUGCCAGUGGCUCUGAGAAUAGAACAGUGAGCUAGACUCUUGGCAUCGUUUCCUAGGGAGUCCUCGGUCCUAGGGGGAGGAGAGAGCCCUGUGUAAUGAUUUCAGAUGAUGUUAUAAGGUAGGGUGUGGGGCGGGCGCGGUUGCUCACGCCUGUAAUCCCAGCACUUUGUGAGGCUGACGGAGGAGGAGGCUUCGUUGAGCCCAGGAGUUCAAGACCAGCCUGAGUAGCAGAGACCCUGUCUCUACAAAAAAUAAAAGUAGCGGGACGUGGUGACGCAUGCCUGUGGCCCCAGCUACUUGGGAUCCUGAGGCAGGAGGAUUGCUUCAACCAGGAGGUCGAGGCUGCAGUGGGCUGUGAUUGCACCACUGCACUCUAGCCUGCCUGACAGAGCAAGACUGUCUUAAUAAGGCCAAGGCCGGGGGCGGUGGCUCACGCCUGUAAUCCCAGCACUUUGAGAGGCCGAGAUGGGUGGAUCCCCUGAGGUCAGGAAUUGGAGACAGCCUGACCAACAUGGCGAAACCUCGUCUCUACUAAAAAUACAAAAAUUAGGCGGGCGUGAUGGUGAGCACCUG